GUGCUCACUUCAGCAGCACAUGUACCAAAAUUGGAAUGAGACAGAGAAGAUUAGCAUGGCCCUGCACAAGGGUAACAUGCAAAUUCAUGAAGUGUUCCAUAUCUUU
rnacentral:snRNA from 1 species